AGUCACUGACAUUAGAUACCCGCGUAGUCCAGGGUGUAAACGCUGCAGACUUGGUGUUGGGGGCCCUUUGGGGGCAUUCAGUGCCGGAGAGAAGUUGUUAAGUCUGCUACUUGGGGAGUACGUCCGCAAGGAUGAAACUUAAAGGAAUUGGCGAGGGAGCACCGCAACGGGAGGAGCGUGCGGUUUAAUUGGAUUCAACACCGUAAAACUCACCAGGGAAGACUGUUACAUGAAGGCCGAGAUGAAGACUCUGCUAGAUUUUCAG
rnacentral:rRNA from 1 species